AUUGAACGCUGGCGGCAGGCCUAACACAUGCAAGUCGAGCGGAUGAAGGGAGCUUGCUCCUGGAUUCAGCGGCGGACGGGUGAGUAAUGCCUAGGAAUCUGCCUGGUAGUGGGGGAUAACGUCCGGAAACGGGCGCUAAUACCGCAUACGCCCUGAGGGAGAAAGUGGGGGAUCUUCGGACCUCACGCUAUCAGAUGAGCCUAGGUCGGAUUAGCUAGUUGGUGGGGUAAAGGCCUACCAAGGCGACGAUCCGUAACUGGUCUGAGAGGAUGAUCAGGCACACUGGAACUGAGACACGGUCCAGACUCCUACGGGAGGCAGCAGUGGGGAAUAUUGGACAAUGGGCGAAAGCCUGAUCCAGCCAUGCCGCGUGUGUGAAGAAGGUCUUCGGAUUGUAAAGCACUUUAAGUUGGGAGGAAGGGCAGUAAGUUAAUACCUUGCUGUUUUGACGUUACCAACAGAAUAAGCACCGGCUAACUUCGUG
rnacentral:rRNA from 1 species